rnacentral:lncRNA from 1 species
ACUAGAUCCACCUCCUAAGUUUAACAUUAGUCCAGGACCAGGAGGACCAGUCUAAACACUGUGGGAAAAAUAGCCAAGCAACUUAGCUCACACAAGGUCUCGCAGUUCUAGUUGCCUGACACGUGGUCUGCCCUACCUCUGAGCACCUAUGGUCCUCCUCCUCCAUUUGAACUUACGAGGUCAAGGGUUUGCUCACUGGAUAGAAUGAGAGGAUCUUAAACUUUGGAGCCAGAUAGAACUUACAACCUCCUUCCAGGAAGAGAAGCCUCACUUGAACUCAAACAGAGAAGUACACCUGUACCUGCAGUCGUCCCAGUCAGCUCAGGUUCAGUCAUCCUGGCCAGGCAGCAGCAUCACUCACCUGACGGAAACAGUGAAGUCUAGUGGGACCUCAUGCAGCCAGGUCUUCCGCUCAUAUUUAUACUCCACUUGCAUCAUUGUCAGAAUUCAGGCACCGGCCACACUGAGAGGCACAGAGAUAAAUGUGGUUACACUACACAGAAGGAAGGUGGAGGAAUUGUGCCAUACCAAAAAGCCAGGUCCUGGAAUGAAGAUCCAUAAAUAUUUUGUUGUAUUUUAGUGACAAUCUAACCAAAAUAAAUUCAUUCAUUUCAGCUUGACUUU